rnacentral:rRNA from 1 species
UACGGAGGGAGCAAGCGUUACUCGGAAUUAUUGGGCGUAAAGGGCUCGUAGGCGGUCCAUCGCGUCGGGAGUGAAAAGCUGGGGCUUAACCCCAGUCCUGCUUCCGAUACGGGUGGACUAGAGGUAGGUAGGGGAGAACGGAAUUCCUGGUGUAGCGGUGAAAUGCGCAGAUAUCAGGAGGAACACCGGUGGCGAAGGCGGUUCUCUGGGACGGUACUGACGCUGAGACGCGAAAGCGUGGGGAGCGAACAGG